AUGUUGCAGAAUUGGAGACACAGUUAGCAGCAAAAGAAGCCUUUCUAUUGCCUGAACCAUCCUCUGAUGGUGAGAAUGUCGUGAAUUUACUCGUAAGAAUGCCAGAUGGCAGCCGUCGUGGACGCUGAUUCCUUAGAUCUGAUAAACUACAAGUAAAUAACCUGCUAGGAACUGUUAUUUUCCUACCCAAUUUUGGUGAAUAUUUUUACAAAACCUGAUUCUGGUAUUUUUUUUCAGUCUCUUUUCGACUUCAUAGAUAUUGGUAGGGUGGUGAAACCAGGCAGUUACAGACUGGUGAGUGAACCUGUUGCGUUUCGGUUUGCCUCAUGUUAAUGAGUGCAUAACACCUUAAAUUUGAGUCUUUAAAAUUAUAGUAUCAGUCCUGAAAUCCUCGCUUGAGCGAGAGAUUCUCGCCUGGGCGAGAAAAGCUCACCUGGGAUGGUGAAAUCCUGGGCUAUACUGGAGGAUUCUCGCCUGAGCGAGAGUUGUCUCACCUGGGCGAGAAAUGGCAUUUUGGGACUGUUGAUACUGUGACUCGCUUGAGUGAGAGGGUCAGAUCUGAGUUUUUUAAAAAUAGGCGGGAUUUUAUCGCUUGAGCGAGAAAGGACUCGCUUAAGCGAGAACCCGACGAGUUGUAUUAAAUGAGAAACCCCAAACACAAUCUAGGGUUUAGAAAAGAAGAAGGGUAAGAGAAGAGAGCUUUUUCAAGGACAAGAAGUUUGGAUACUCAUCUAAGAGCUUGAGAAGAGGUAAAAACUCUUGAUUCUAACUAUAUUCUUCUCUUUAAAACCUAUUUUGGGUAUGUUGGAUCUCUUCUAAAAAAUGAAGGAAACCAUGGAAACUCAUCUUUUGAGUUAUGGUUCGUUUUAUGUUAUUUCUCUGUUACAACUCUUGGUUUAGAGUUAGUAUUUCAAGAAUGGAAAUGGUUAUGAGUUGAUUCAUGA